UAGAGUUUGAUCCUGGCUCAGAUUGAACGCUGGCGGUAUGCUUUACACAUGCAAGUCGAACGGAUUAUGGAGCUUGCUUCAUAGUUAGUGGCGAACGGGUGAGUAAUAUAUCGGAACAUAUCCGGAAGUGGGGGAUAACGUAGCGAAAGUUACGCUAAUACCGCAUAUGCCCUGAGGGGGAAAGGGGGGGAUCGCAAGACCUCUCGCUUUCGGAGUGGCCGAUAUCGGAUUAGCUAGUAGGUGAGGUAAAGGCUCACCUAGGCGACGAUCCGUAGCUGGUCUGAGAGGACGACCAGCCACACUGGAACUGAGACACGGUCCAGACUCCUACGGGAGGCAGCAGUGGGGAAUUUUGGACAAUGGGCGAAAGCCUGAUCCAGCCAUACCGCGUGAGUGAAGAAGGCCUUCGGGUUGUAAAGCUCUUUCAGCCGGAAAGAAAUCGUACCUAUUAAUACUAGGUGCGGAUGACGGUACCGGAAGAAGAAGCACCGGCUAACUACGUGCCAGCAGCCGCGGUAA
rnacentral:rRNA from 1 species